AGGUUAGCAGUGAAGAUGCAGUCAUCAUGGCUAGGGUGCUGGCCUUGAAGGAAGGACUCAUGGUUGGUAUUUCAUCCGGAGCUAAUACAAUUGCAGCUCUAAGAUUGGCUAGUAUUUGAUUAAGGAAUACGCAUGUUUGCCGGUAUUUGGAGGAUGGGAACCGGAACAGGACCUUGGCGUUUUCUGAGAGGCAAUUACUAAUAACUUGUCUAGGUAACUGAUAAA